CAGUAGCCGCGGGAAAACGAAGGGGGCUAGCGUUGUUCGGAUUUACUGGGCGUAAAGCGCACGUAGGCGGAUCCUUAAGUCAGAGGUGAAAUCCCAAGGCUCGACCUUGGAACUGCCUUUGAUACUGGGGAUCUCGAGUUCGGGAGAGGUGAGUGGAACUGCGAGUGUAGAGGUGAAAUUCGUAGAUAUUGGGAAGAACACCAGUGGCGAAGGCGGCUCACUGGACCGACACUGACGCUGAGGCGCGAAAGCGUGGGGAGCAAACAGGAUUAGAUACCCCUGUAGUCCCUGUCUCUUAUAC
rnacentral:rRNA from 1 species